rnacentral:lncRNA from 1 species
GCAGAAUUAUUUACCACCACAAUGAUGCAGUUGAAAUUGUAUUAUUUUAAAUUCUUCAAUGAAUAAUUAUUAACUACCAAUCACCAAUGAGUCAUUCCAGAAAAGAUAAACACUAACUCCACAGAUGUCUGAAGUGCUGUCUGAAGUGGGCAGAACUCAACUGCUGAUAAUAGUAAAAGUAUUAGCUAAGGGUGUCCAAAAGUGGGAGGAAGCUGAAUCUCCCAUCUCUUCCAUUAGGGGUGUGGAUAUUUUUUUGAAUGACCCAAUCAGUUUGAACUAACUGUAUAAUCAAGUUAUUCUAGUAUAAUUAUCACUUUGUAGUCCCAUGAGCUGUGACAUCACUUUGGCUGUUUGGAAUGUUUAUCUCUUUUCAAUUUUCUUUUGGUAGCGAUAACAGAUUACUACUACAGAUACUGUAUUAC